rnacentral:rRNA from 1 species
UACAGAGGAUGCAAGCGUUAUCCGGAAUGAUUGGGCGUAAAGCGUCUGUAGGUGGCUUUUUAAGUCCGCCGUCAAAUCCCAGGGCUCAACUCUGGACAGGCGGUGGAAACUACCAAGCUGGAGUACGGUAGGGGCAGAGGGAAUUUCCGGUGGAGCGGUGAAAUGCGUAGAGAUCGGAAAGAACACCAACGGCGAAGGCGGUCUGCUGGGCCGUUGCUGACGCUGAGGCGCGACAGCGUGGGGAGCAAACAGG